AGGGAGCAAAGUGGCAGAGAAGGUAGAGAGCCCAGGUGGCACAGAAGGGAGGGAGUCGAGGGCUAAGUGAUGAAGAGAGGGAGUGAGGCAGCGGAGAAGGGAGCGAACCCUGCCCUGAUGGGC